rnacentral:rRNA from 1 species
AAGUUGUUGCAGUUAAAAAGCUCGUGGUUGGACCUUGGGUUGGAUAUACCGGUCCGCCUAUGGUGUGCACCGGUCAUCUCGUCCCUUCUGCCGGCGAUGCGCUCCUAGCCUUAAUUGGUCGGGUCGUGCCUCCGGCGCUGUUACUUUGAAGAAAUUAGAGUGCUCAAAGCAAGCCUACUGUCACGGGCCUAGUUUCGUUACACCCGAACAAACUAGAACCGUGCGGCCUUAACGUUCUACAAUUCCCGCACCUCACGAGAAAACGUUAAGUCAGCCUUUCUACGCCCACAAAUAAUUUAACCAAUGAGGCUAAAUUAUACCCACGUUGAGAAGAGAAUUUUGAAGUAAGUAAUAUAUGGAAAACAAGUAAAGGAUGGGGAAACUUUCUUUAUAUAAAUGAAAGGAAAAACUUUACAUUCUCUCUUGAAAGAAUAAACUCACUCACUCUACAUUCUCUACCAUCUACUACACACCAUUUACAAAUGAGACUACACCUCUAUUUAUAGGAAAACUUAAACCUCCUUAACCUUCAACUUUACAACUUGCGCUUAGUUGUCACCACCUCGUGCUUAGUUGUUGCCAACUCAUUCUUAGUUGUCUUCAAGUGGAUGGUAUUACAACUUGGCCUUGCAAGUUGUCGCCAACUCGUGCCUAGCUUGCAUACAACUCGCGCCUAGCUUGCAUCGUUGAUAUUUAUCCUUGCCAACUCGCGCUUAGCUUGCAUACAACUCGCGCUUAGCUUGCAAGUGGCACACAUGUGGACAAGUUGUGCAAGUUGCCAACUUGCAUCCUCAAAAUAUCCGGCUGCAGGUUCAUGUAUUUUACCUCCCAAAAUGGCUAGGUUGAGACUUAGAAAAACCUCAUUAAUACCCAAAAAAAUGCAUGAUCUAGGCAGCCUGCAUUCUGUCCCAAAACAGUCCACUUGCGUCCCCAGCCUGAAUCUGCCUGCAUCCUUUGCCGAAUCUGCUUGCGUCCCCUAUCGCAAGCUGUUCCGUCCUUCUGAAACGCGUUACCCGCGCUAUCUUGCGAUCGCUACCGGGACGAAUCGGUCACGACCGCGUGGCGUCAGUUACUCCCCCACUGAAUUUGGCGACGCACUCAUCGCCUUGUACCGCCGAAGCAUAGACCUUAUUUGCCAUAAGUCUAUCUCGUUUUCUCACCUUGUGCCAUGACAUUCCCAUGUCAUGCCAAACCUUAAGUCAUGAUCUUGCGAUCCGUGACACUACGCUCUGGAUACAUUAGCAUGGGAUAACAUUAUAGGAUUUCGGUCCUAUUACGUUGGCUUUCGGGAUCGGAGCAAUGAUUAACAGGAACAGUCGGGGGCAUUCGUAUUUCAUAGUCAGAGGUGAAAUUUUUGAAUUUAUGAAAGACGAACAACUGCGAAAGCAUUUGCCAAGGAUGUUUUCAUUAAUCAAGAACGAAAGUUGGGGGCUCGAAGACGAUCAGAUACCGUCCUAGUCUCAACCAUAAACGAUGCCGACCAGGGAUCGGCGGAUGUUGCUUAUAGGACUCCGCCGGCACCUUAUGAGAAAUCAAAGUUUUUGGGUUCCG